rnacentral:rRNA from 1 species
AGUGAACGCUGGCGGUAGGCCUAACACAUGCAAGUCGAACGGCAGCACAGUAAGAGCUUGCUCUUACGGGUGGCGAGUGGCGGACGGGUGAGGAAUACAUCGGAAUCUACUUUUUCGUGGGGGAUCACGUAGGGAAACUUACGCUAAUACCGCAUACGACCUACGGGUGAAAGCAGGGGAUCUUCGGACCUUGCGCGAUUGAAUGCGCCGAUGUCGGAUUAGCUAGUUGGCGGGGUAAAGGCCCACCAAGGCGACGAUCCGUAGCUGGUCUGAGAGGAUGAUCAGCCACACGGGAACUGAGACACGGUCCAGACUCCUACGGGAGGCAGCAGUGGGGAAUAUUGGACAAUGGGCGCAAGCCUGAUCCAGCCAUACCGCGUGGGUGAAGAAGGCCUUCGGGUUGUAAAGCCCUUUUGUUGGGAAAGAAAAGCAGCAGGUUAAUACCCCGCUGUUCUGACGGUACCCAAAGAAUAAGCACCGGCUAACUUCGUG